rnacentral:lncRNA from 1 species
GUCAUCAAUUGAUCAUAUUGUUGUCUGCUCAAACCUGGAACCAAAAAACCUUGUUCAUCCACAUUUGGAACAGAUUGGUGACCCUCAGUGGAAUUACCAAUAAGAUCAGAUGUGUGCCCUUCAGAAAGAUUGAAGUGAGCACCAGUAGUUACAUGAACAACAGCAGUUUUCAUUCCUUUGUUAAACUUGAGGUUUUGAGGAUACCCAUGAAGCUUGUAACACUUAUCAAUUAAGUGCCAAGAUUCUUGAAGUAUCUACAAAAUAAAGACCCCUUGGUCUGAUCAAAACUGACUCUUUGUGUAUAUUGUCUGAGAGAAGAAGGAUUAGGUACUGCAGCUUGGUUCAUUCCAAAAGAAGAUGCAAGACUUUUGUUUGUAUUAACACUGAAAGACAUGGAAUCAGGAUUGAAUUGAGAGUUGGAUUGGACUUGUCUUUGUUUCUCAUCAUUAAGGAGAAUGUUAUACACACUGUCAAGACUAGGGGGAGGUUGCAUCAUCAACAAGUUGCUCCUUACCCCUAUAUAUGUCUCAUUAAGGCCCAUGAGAAAUUGGAACACCUUAUUUU